CGUUAGCUCAAAUCCCCGAAAAAAGUACUUGGAAGAUACUCAUUGAAUACUCAUUCUUAGUGGAGUUAAAUCGAGGAUUGUUGGGGGCACGACACAUUCAAUUCCAGAUUUCAUUCCGUUAAAAAUAUUUAGAUAAAUUUCUCGGGGAGAACGGUUGCUUAAAUAAAAAAAAAUCACAUCGGGACUCUUAAAAUUAACUGAAAUUACCUGUUGAGUACACCCUAAUGUACAUGCGCGCCUCUCUAUCCAAUCCGGUAUCUUUAGGUCGUACAUACACCAUUGUACGCUGGUAGCGUAUGAUACCUUCUUCCAUGAAGGCGUUUAUAGAAGGUGACGAAUGGACAGUAUUGUGCAAUAGAAAGUGUUGAAAUCACGUGCUGAAUUACAAUUCCUAAUUUACUACUCUAUUUGCAAGUAUUUAAACCUAAACUACUAUGAAAUUUUGCUACUUAUCUAAAUUCGCUUAAGGUAAUAGUUCUUAUAUAUGAAUUAAUGUGAAGUUAUACUAAAUUAUUGAAAUGCUAUAUACAGUGUCGCCUUAAACCUACAUAGUGCAUUACCAUAACCCUACAUCUAUUCGGAUUAAAAGCCUACAUGCAAAGGCUGAUCGAAAAAUAAGAACUCGCAUAAUCAGGAACAUUGAUCGCCGGCAGGUAUCGCACAACGGGACUAAACGUAAGUCAAAACGGACAAACAUAUAUUUCUCAAAGCACUAAAUGAACAUUAAAUAAUUAGAAUUGCAACAU